rnacentral:lncRNA from 12 species
AAUCUCUUUUCACACUGCAUGGAGUUGAAGCUCCAGCUUUGCAAAUAGAUACAAGCCUGAACAUCCCAAAAUGAAAGGUAAUAAAGUAUUUGCAUUUUUUUCCAGGCUUAAUUCUUUUACUCAUUGAACUUCAGAAUGAUUGAGGAACAAACAAGCUGCAGCUACAGAUUAACACCUACACAUAUCCACCCACAUGCCAGGCUGAAAAGGAAUGGAGAACAACGGAUAUUUUGGAUAUUUGCCAAAAAUGGAUAUAUUGCCAGCUAAGAAAAUGCCAUGAGUAGAAGGCAGAACAGGAAGCUCUCUUCCCAAGUGAGGACUGAGGCAAGAUCAAUCUGCUUCUUGAAGUACUGAGGCUUUUCACACAAAUGAAAAAUAACAUCAGAACACAUCUUGGGAAAAUUCCAGAUGAAAC